rnacentral:rRNA from 1 species
GACAGCAGCAGCCGCGGUAAAACGGAGGGUGCAAGCGUUAAUCGGAAUUACUGGGCGUAAAGCGCACGCAGGCGGUCUGACAAGUCAGAUGUGAAAUCCCCGGGCUUAACCUGGGAACUGCAUUUGAAACUGUCAGGCUGGAGUCUUGUAGAGGGGGGUGGAAUUCCAGGUGUAGCGGUGAAAUGCGUAGAGAUCUGGAGGAAUACCGGUGGCGAAGGCGGCCCCCUGGACAAAGACUGACGCUCAGGUGCGAAAGCGUGGGGAGCAAACAGGAUUAGAUACCCCAGUAGUCCCUGUCUCUUAUAC